GCCGUGCUUGGGGCGGCGGAAAUCCUAGAGCCGCCCCUGGUGUCACAGAAUGUUCCUGGGCCAUGCCCUCUUUUUGCUGGCCACAGCCUGACAAUGGAGUCCAGGAAGAAGAGAAUCCUGAAAAUGCCAGACCCAAGAAGUUGCCAGUUGCUUCCUGUAUUCCUUCAUCAAUUUCCGUCAUCAUGGAGGUUGCACCUGCAUGUGUCUGACAAACUAGAAAGAUGUUUAAAAUAGUAACAAGCAAUUUACUGUAUUUACAAAGAGGACAAAAUCUUGCACUUCCUGUUUGAAGCCACAUGGUUUGUGAUGGAUGGAGAGUGCUGGCUGCACAAAAGGCUUCUGAGCCUCCUAGCCAGUGACGGGAAGAAGAUGCUGUGAAUCGUACCUUAGCCCUGAUCCAGAAAGUAAGAAUAGAAGAAAAACUAACAAUGGACUGACCUGAAUAGAAGAGUCUCGUAAUGAGCCUUGAACAGUGUCACAGAGAGACACUGGCAGAAUUGGAGAGCGCUCACAGGUGGGGUCUCUGAAGCAAGAAGCCCUGGCACCUUUGAGAUGGGAAAAAAGGACAAACUGAUCUGACUCAACUGCAUUGUGUAGGAUGAGGGCUGUAUACGCUAUGAGGGAAACCUGGAAGUGCCAGCUGUAAUUAAAAACUUUAUUUCCAAAUGCAGUUCUCCAUUCAGACAGGGCAAGCAAUGCUUCUUACCAUUUAAGCUCUGAGAAUGCUGUGCUGAGCAAAAGGAGUACAGUUUUCUUUCAAGGGCUUUCUGCUCAUUGGAUUUAUGCAUUUAAUGACCUUGGCAGCAUUACAGACAAAGCCUUUAACAUAGAGAUGAAUUGUUUGCAUGCAAUUUCUUUAAAGAUUAGGCAUCAACAUAAUUUCCCUCAUCAUCAGAUACACAGAUUAUUUUUGUUCCCUUUUCCCUCUCUUCAAUAAACCUAUUGUCGAGUGUGGAAAAAACCACCCAAGCUGUUCGAUUUCCACAUUAUCCUUCCUAUAGCAUCCCAAGAUAGUAGUUACAAAACAGUAUUCAUGCAGCUUUUUCUAUCC